AUUGAACGCUGGCGGCAGGCCUAACACAUGCAAGUAGAGCGAGCGGCGGACAGGUGAGCAAUGUAUUGGGACUGCCCUAUAGAGGGGGAUAACUACUGGAAACGGUGGCUAACACCGCAUCCUUUCGGAUAUACCAUAUGGGAUUAGCUAGUAGGUGGGGUAAAGGCGAACCUAUACGAAGAUCUCUAGCUGGUCUGAGAGGAUAAACAGCCAAAGUGGGACGGAGAGACGGACCAGACUCCUACGGAGGCAGCAGUGGGGAAUAUGGCACAAGGGGCGCAAGCCUGAUGCAGCCAUGCCGCGUGUAUGAAGAAGGCCUUAGGGUUGUAAAGUUCUUUCAGCGGGGAGGCAAUACCCGCAGGAGAAACACCGGCUAACUCCGUGCCAGCAGCCGCAGUAAUAC
rnacentral:rRNA from 1 species